GAGGAGAGGGAGGAGGCCGGGACAGCAGCCGUCGCCGGGCAGCGGGGCGCGGCAUCGCGGGGGCUGGACUCACCUGUCCCUUGGGCCCCGGCUCGCCAGACUCGCCCUGCAGGCACAGGGAAGCCGGGUCACGGGCGCUGAAGCCCCAGAGCCCUCCCCCCUCCCCCCCCCCCCCCCCCGCCCCGGCCGCCCCAGCGCGGCCAGCUCACCUUCUCGCCUUUCUCUCCCGGGAGACCGGCCACCCCCCGGUCGCCCUGCAAAUUGAGCACAGCGAGUCAGAGCGGCGACGGACCCCCACCCGCCGCCGCCGCCGCCGCCGCCGCCGCCGCCGCCGCCCGGAACGCGGGGGGAGGGGAGACGCUGGUACUCACCAGGCCGCCGCGGGGUCCGGUCUUCCCUGGGGAGCCCUGCAGCAAGCGGGCAGUCAGGACUUGGGCCGCCUGGGACCCGCCGGACAUAUUUUUCCGCGAAGAUCUGGAGGGCUGAGGAAGGACCUAACUGAGCUCCAGCACCCCCAGGACCUGAAGCCUCUUGCCCAGGUGAAAGAACUAAAGCACAGAAAGAGGGCCUCUCCCAAGGUCACAGAGCCAACCCGCCAGCAACAGAGCUCAAUCCAGAAUCUCAGGCUCCUCGUCCUCUGAAGCUUGGACAGAGUUGACCCCGCUCUCUGUCUGGUAAUUUACUCUGCACAAACAAACCUGAAAAUAGGAGCCCAAGAAUCCCAGGUCCUGGGCCAGAGGGAGCAAUGACACCCCAGCCCUCACAUCAACCUCAUCUCUCCCAAAGAGUGCCUUUUCAUCUGAAGGAGCUCAAGAUUUCUUUUCCUUUUUUCAAUAAAAUUUUGUUGUAACCAUAGAGAUAUUUUAUAUUUGAUCAGAGACUGAGUCUGAUUCAUCCUCUGUUAUCAAGCUGCAGGUGUCCACAGAUUUUUGGAGAAAGUGACUGAUCACUGAAUCACCCCCAAGUUGGAUCCAUGGACUGAAGUUUUCCUCAGGACCUUCCCUAACCAUGCCCUUCUCUCUCAGGGGUAGGUUCUCAGGACUCAAUUUGGAGUAAAUGACUGAAUUCUCUUACACCUGACCAAACCCACUUUGUUUCUUCAGUCAUUUUCCGAAAUACUUACCUCCUUGGUUCUCCGUUUCCCCUCCCCCAACCCCACAUCAAGUUCUCAGCCAAUCUCCCAUCCCAACCACUGCGUCUUCUGGAAUAUUGGUUCAAUGAUUAGCAAAUUAUCUGACUGUUCUCAAUUUCUCAGGGCACAUUGUCCACCUCCAAGCCUGGACCUCCACAUGAUGCUCCCUGACAACCUGCUGUCCUGCAGCUCUCACAGUUGGAGGCGUCACAUCCCUCAGGGUCAGAAUGUGGGAUCAGCAUCCACAUUAUUUCUUUGAGUGCUUCUCCAGAAAUGUGCUUGUAGAAGACUCUACUCCCUCAGGUGCCAACUGGUUCUAUCACCCCUCCUCUUUUCUCUGGGUCCUUUCCCUCACUCACUAAUGAUUUGGGCACCUGGGUCACAUCUUCCCCUCCUCUCAGGGUCCUGCCAUCUGGGGCGCCUCACCAUCUUCUUGGAUGACCCUUUCAACAUCCCAGAUCCCAUUGCCUUAACCACCUCAUUUCUAGUGAUCGUCUCCUCAACUCCACUUCAGCCGUAUUCUCAAGGCCAUACCUGGGGCGUUGGCUUCAUUCAGAGUGCCUCAGCUCUGAAAUAUUAAAACCAAUCCACCCUGGGAUCCCUGAGCCACCAUGCAGGAAGUCUGACCAUCCUGCUGGGGAGACCACACAGAGAGAGAUGCCCAGCCGAGCCCAGCCUUCCAGUUGUCCACACCAAAGCACCAGGCAUUUUGAACGUUCCAGACCUGCCUGAUCACCUGCUAAAUGCCACUGAGGGCCUGAGGAAACUCCACAUGGAACAGAAGAAUUGCCCAGCUAAGCCUCAAUUACAGUUGUAUCAGAUGAGACUCCGUGUCAUCUCUCCUGGGGUGGAGCUCCUCCCCAUCCGUGGUCCCGGAAAUCUAGAAAACAAGGUCUCUGCUCCCAGAAUAGAAUGCCAGGACUGGCAUAUGCUAACAGUUAAAGGCAUUCCUGUGCAAACAGAGAGAAGAUGGAAGAAAUAAAGGAGUCACAGGUCCCAGGUAAUUUCAAAAUUAAGUUGGACAAGCUUUAUUAGGCUUCAAGGCCUAAGGAUAAUCCUCCGUAGCUCAAGGCUUAGCCCUCUGAGUUGUUUGUUCUUUUUCAUGAGAGACAGCACCUAUUCCCAGCUGGGCCAUUGUAUCAGCCUGCUUCCUGCUUGUAGCCUUCUUUCAUUUCUGACCCUCUCUGUCCCUUCCAGUCCAGGUUCCACUGUUUCUCCUGAGAUAUAAGACUCAAGAACCUUGUGGGCCUCUCAUGGGUGUCUCAGAGAUGCACUCCAUUACACCAGAGGCUCCUUCACAGAUGUUCCCUGGAUAAUUCCAUUUCUGGUUUUGGCUUCGUUGAGACAGCUGAUGUGAUCUAUGAGUCACACACUCUCUUCAAAAAUCCCUUCACGUGACCAAAUACUUGGACCUUUGGAUCUUUCAGGGAUGUUAACAAAAGGUUGUCCAGGCGCACCAUCGGCUUUUUCUCAAGUUCACUUUCCCUGACAGUGAAUCUCUCCAUUUUAAUAUCAUUUGCAAUCUAGAUAAGCUGAGAAUUCCCCCAGGUCAUCAAGCCCCGGUUUGUUUUUGUUUGAUAGUUCUUUCCUCCGUGUGUCUGUGUCCCCUCCCGGUUGGUUACGGCGAGUGGCAAGAAGCCUCGAGGCCACACCUUUCAACGCUUUGCUUGGAAAUCUCGGCGAAACAUCCAAGUUCAUCGUUUGUAAGUUCUGCUUUCCACAUGACUGCAGGGCGUGUGAUUCGAGGCCUCUUGCCACCGAGGAACGAGUUUCCAGUAAGGCGUUCCUCAUUUCCUUCUUAGCUCUUAUGGGCAGCACCUGUAACAGCCAUAUUUCUACCAAGUCUGUGCACGAUGACGUGGGCCUGCUCAAAGUUGGUUUAUGUUUUCUCCUCCGCGCCCCUCACUUCUGAGUCCUCAGCGGCAGAGUCAUCGUUAGCUCCCUUGUUGCCACCGAGUCUGUUCAAGGUCAUCUAAGCUUUUUCUAUGAUGCUCCCUACUGUCCCUACUCCCUACUGUCCUCUCCCUACUGUCCAGUCCCACUGCCUCUUCCACGUGUUGAGAUGCUUGGUCCAGCACCACCGAAAUCUGUAUUUGUUUUCUACGGCUGCUGUAACAAAUAACCACGGACUGAGAGGCUUAACGCAAUACAGAUGUGGUGUCUAAGAGUUCUGCAA